rnacentral:rRNA from 1 species
GCUUGCUCCCUGAUGUUAGCGGCGGACGGGUGAGUAACACGUGGGUAACCUGCCUGUAAGACUGGGAUAACUCCGGGAAACCGGGGCUAAUACCGGAUGGUUGUUUGAACCGCAUGGUUCAGACAUAAAAGGUGGCUUCGGCUACCACUUACAGAUGGACCCGCGGCGCAUUAGCUAGUUGGUGAGGUAACGGCUCACCAAGGCGACGAUGCGUAGCCGACCUGAGAGGGUGAUCGGCCACACUGGGACUGAGACACGGCCCAGACUCCUACGGGAGGCAGCAGUAGGGAAUCUUCCGCAAUGGACGAAAGUCUGACGGAGCAACGCCGCGUGAGUGAUGAAGGUUUUCGGAUCGUAAAGCUCUGUUGUUAGGGAAGAACAAGUGCCGUUCAAAUAGGGCGGCACCUUGACGGUACCUAACCAGAAAGCCACGGCUAACUACGUGCCAGCAGCCGCGGUAAUACGUAGGUGGCAAGCGUUGUCCGGAAUUAUUGGGCGUAAAGGGCUCGCAGGCGGUUUCUUAAGUCUGAUGUGAAAGCCCCCGGCUCAACCGGGGAGGGUCAUUGGAAACUGGGGAACUUGAGUGCAGAAGAGGAGAGUGGAAUUCCACGUGUAGCGGUGAAAUGCGUAGAGAUGUGGAGGAACACCAGUGGCGAAGGCGACUCUCUGGUCUGUAACUGACGCUGAGGAGCGAAAGCGUGGGGAGCGAACAGGAUUAGAUACCCUGGUAGUCCACGCCGUAAACGAUGAGUGCUAAGUGUUAGGGGGUUUCCGCCCCUUAGUGCUGCAGCUAACGCAUUAAGCACUCCGCCUGGGGAGUACGGUCGCAAGACUGAAACUCAAAGGAAUUGACGGGGGCCC